GAAUCUUAGACAAUGGGCGCAAGCCUGAUCUAGCCAUGCCGCGUGAGUGAUGAAGGCCUUAGGGUUGUAAAGCUCUUUCAGCUGGGAAGAUAAUGACGGUACCAGCAGAAGAAGCCCCGGCUAACUCCGUGCCAGCAGCCGCGGUAAUACGGAGGGGGCUAGCGUUGUUCGGAAUUACUGGGCGUAAAGCGCACGUAGGCGGACCAUCAAGUUGGGGGUGAAAUCCCGGGGCUCAACCUCGGAACUGCCUCCAAAACUGCUGGUCUUGAGUUCGAGAGAGGUGAGUGGAAUUCCGAGUGUAGAGGUGAAAUUCGUAGAUAUUCGGAGGAACACCAGUGGCGAAGGCGGCUCACUGGCUCGAUUCUGACGCUGAGGUGCGAAAGCGUGGGGAGCAAACAGG
rnacentral:rRNA from 1 species